rnacentral:misc_RNA from 1 species
GUUCACUAGUUAAAUUUUCUUGUGGUGUUAAUUAUUUUGUAUAGUGUUGUUUUUUAUCUAGUCCCAUGUGCCAUUUUGACCAUCUUAUUUGUUUUCCAUUUGUUCGUUUUUGUGGUGAAUAUUUCAGCACAGGCCAUUACACGCAUGAUAUAUAAAAUGUGGAAAUUUUUUUUACAAACAUUCCUGUUGGAAUGAGUUGUGGGAACAAGUCCCACAUUGG